rfam:Schistosoma mattheei strain Denwood, Zambia genome assembly, scaffold: SMTD_scaffold0000002
GCACUGUUGAGGAGUCCCACAAUAGGACGAAACGGCCGUUCAAUGC